ACGUAGAGACGACGGUAGCCGGCGAGGUGAACCGCGUGGACGACUUUUAUCAUAAAAUUUGUUUUGCACAGGUGACAGACAGGAAACAAGAGGGGGGAAUCUAUUUGCUGGAGCACCUCCAGGCCCUGCAGUGGUCAUUUCCUGUUUUUACCAGAGGAGGGCACCCUCUUCUCUCCGGAUGCUUCAGCUGCUUGAACCUGCUGGAGGUGGAAAGCCACAGUGGGGAUACUUUUAUCGGGCAUUCCAAGGGUACAAAACAGGAAGGAGGGGAAGCCGAAUUGUAAAGCCACAGGACAGAGAGGAUGUACUGCAGACUGCUAAGAGAAGUUGAACUCAGGACUGACCUCUCUGCUUUCAUGUGAGUGUUGUGGAUAGAGAAAGGGAAGCAUCUUCAGACCUUUCAGCGACAUCUCUUCCACUCCCAACUCCAUCUCCUUCAUUUUCUGCUUCAAACAGAGGACAAAGGGACCCUUGUCUACUGGUCGUGCCCAGUGCCAUUGGGAAGGUAAGGCGGGGAGAAUUAGGAAGGGGCAGGAACAGGGCUCCCAACUACAAGGUAACAAGGGGAAACCAAUCCCUCCUGGAAUUAUCCUGAUACUG